CUGAGUGUAUCUCAAGGGAACAAAGGACCCAAACAUUUUUUCUUUCCUAAAUUGUGUGUUUUCAAUUACCAUUCUAUCUUGCUAAUGCAUAUUUAUUUAGUUAGAUCAACAGUUUCCAAUGUUUAAAUGCCUGCUCUAAAGACAGAAUUUUGAGUCUAAAAGAGCCUUCAACUUACAGCUUUCCUUCUGGAAGAAAAAAAGACUGGAGUAAUCCAAAAGGCAUAAAGGUUUCUACUUGAACUCCUGGGCUGAAUUAAACAGUCCUGGAAGAAGCUUCUGAUGUCUCUGACCUCCCAGUUUUAAAACAAGCAGAUGAAGGUUGAUGCUGCGCCGUUAAUCUGUCUGUGUAAUCUAGACCAUGUGCCACCUCUGAGGGGAACAGUGGUGACUCCCUUGAGCUGCCUGACUUCUCUUUGCAACAGUACCCGGUUUUCUGGAGGGAGGUGCUCUUCCCCUGUAGUACAUGCAGGCUAGUCAGUACAUAAAAAGGAGUGAGAGCUGCAAGAUGUCAUCGCACCCAGAUGAGGAAUAAAUAGCCAUUGUUGACAGUCAAGAACCCGUUGUAGUGAUCUCACCCCAGGGAUGAGAAGACCCAACAUCCUAUGUGUAGCCCAGUCCCUUCUGCAAAUGCUUUUGUUUCAUGUAAGAAAAAUCAGACCUGAAAAGGGGAGCAACGUAAUUGCUAGGGAAGAUCCCCACUCUUCCUGUGACAAGUGACAUUCCCCGCAGCCAGCCAUCGUGGUAUUUCCCAAAGACACGGACCCCUUCUCCUUUCUGCAGCUCCAGUUCAUCGGGUCCGUGAGCCAUGUAGGAAUGGAGGGCCACGCACCUGGAGAGGAGAGAGAGGGAGAUGAAGGGAAGGGAACACGGGCUGUAGAGAAGUAACUGCCUUAAUGCAAAAUGGUUGAAACAUAUCCUGAAGUUCCUGGUUUUAAUUGUGCUGAAGAACUGAUGCUGCUGGCUUUGGGUGAGUGGCAGCUGUUUGCCUGAAGCCUCUUCAACCACUGCUUGCAUCAAAUAUUUGGGCGCUGCUGUUAUGGUGGAGAGAACUUGCGGGGAAGACACUGUCUAUAACUUGAGGCCAAAGGGAAUAUGAAUAAAAGAAAAGCCAACAGAAAUGAAGAACAAAGCAGAUCUUGUCAAUGGUUUCUGUCCCAGAAGUGUCAGCCAAGAGCGACAAGCAAGGAUUAGGGAGGAGAGAGUUGUUCUUGACUUUACAUAGUGAGUACUGAUUAAGGACUAACGUCCUAAGGCAAAGCAGCAUAAAAGAGUGCAGUUAAGAUGAUCUGUCUGAGUGAUAGUAUCAAGAAUACAUUCUGCCUUUGAAGUACGUGGUGAGCAGGAGGCCUUGCGUCUGCUUGGCUGGAGAAUCAUCUGGAGGUGUUGAGAGGUGCGGGGAGGAGUAUUCCUCAUGCAGCAGCACAAAGCAUCUCUGAAGAAGCACUAGUGUAUUAACCCUGUCUUCCCUGCCUUCCUUGUUCCAUGCCCACACACGGGCAGGCAUCCAUAGCAGUCUAAAAGAACAUCCAGACUUUAGCCACUAUCACUGGAGAUCUUUAAGAAUAAAGUAGAUAAAUAAGGAAUGACUGAGAUCUAGAUGGUUCUGCUUUGGAUUAGUGAGGAAAUUGGACUAGAAAGAUCACUUGAAAUUCUGUCUAGACAUCUCUGUCACUAUUCUGAGAUUUUGUCUAGGCAAUGAGAUUAUUUGUUCUCCACAGUGAACCAUACAUGAGCAUACAGCAAAACAAAAGGCAUAUUUCUCAAAUUCUCCUGUUUGUUUUUGGAUUUUAUUACUACCUAGGGUCCUGGUGGCUUUAAAAAAUUUUCAUUUUUCUCCAGCGGAACACCUUUAAUAAAAUUGCAUUGUUAUUUUCCUUGGGGGAUAUGAUCUGUUCCUAAAUAGUAAUGAGUUACAGAUCCUACAGCAAUUAUCAUUUCCUCUAAACCAGGUGGUAUUAAAGAAGAGAACAAAAAAACAGACUCACAAGGACUAUCCCAUAAGUUUAAAAAAGGUUUUUUCUCACUGUCUAUUGUUCAUAACAAUCACUUGAAAGUUUGACUUGAAAAGUCUUUCUUUAUAGAAAUGAUUUUUCCUUUUAUUUCUUGCAGAGACCAGGAAAGCUUCACUAGUUCAUCUUUUCACACAGGAUUCAUCUUCAAGGAGAGCACAUGCACAUAUUGGUUUGAUAUUGUAGGGCUGAAAAAGGAGCUGUACAACACAAGAAGCUGAUUCUGUAAACACUGAAAUACAGUCCUUAUUCUGUCUCAUUAUUUCACUGUUUUAAGGUUUUAAGAGUUUUCUUGUCUUUUAGAUUAGGUAUGUGUGAGAGUCUUGGAUAACCUAUGCUUAUGCAUGAAUAUAGCAAAUAUUGUCGGGGCAAUAUAGACUUAUAGAUAUUGCUCAUGUAUACUAAUGUUUCCAAAGGGCUGGCUUGCUACUAUGGAGGUGCUAAUUACCAUAUAGGCAGCUUGUUGCUAUUUUGUUAUUACUGGGUAGCUUACUAUAGUGCCAGGCUGGUGAGUUUUAUCUAGAGGAAAAGAAAUCACCAAGUAUAUUUGCAAAUUUUAAGUCUACUUAUUUGGGAAAGUUUUAUCAGAUUGGAUCAUACAAAACAUUAGUGAGCUUUACUGUCUUAAAGUAAGUAGCUAGAGAUAUUUAAGGAGUAAUUUUCUUCUUUAUAUUUAAAAAAUUAAAAUAUGCUGCUGAUGAAUGGGCAGAACUAGAUAUCUAGAAAUAAGUAAGUGAGGUAAUAAGGUGCCAAGAUGGUUCACGUGCUGAGAAUAUAAUAAUUGAAAUAGAUGAGCAUAAUAAUUAGGGAAUGGUCAGAAUCUAUCUUGAAUGUUUCCAGUAGGGUACCUAAAUUCCUCUAUAGCCCUUGAUUUCCCUAAAAUUGAUCUUUGAGUCAUAUUAAGUCUCUGUGAUCUCUUGGUUAGAACAGCAAAGUAUGAAUGAACAUAAGGAAUCCUGCAUUCUAAUCUGGUUUUAUCUUCUGACUCUGAAAACUCAGGCAGGUGUUCUGCCAUGGUUAGAUAAACCUCAGGAGAAGGUACUGAGAACUGCAUGCCACCACCACCAAGUUUCAGUUUCCUUACGUACAUAUUAGCUGAUAUGUGAUGCUGCAGAUGGGGAAGAGUGACAAUAGCUGCUGAAUGCCCCAAAGAUCCUGGUGCAGGAUAGUAAGACGCACUGACCUACAGAAAAAAAAAAAAAAAGAAACAAAGAAAACAAAAUAUUAAUUUGAAUAUAGACUUAUUUUAGCCAUUGGAACAGCAGCUAACUGUUUGACAGGCCUCACUAACACUUCAAAAAAGAGAGAUCAGGCUUCUUAACAAGAGGAUUUCUGUUGCUCUGUAGCUCUGAUAAAUACCAAGUAAUGACAGAUCUAGAGAGGACAACUGAUUCAAAUGUAACCCUGUUCAGUGGCAAUUACUGGCUUCCCUUGACAUCUUUCCAGUAGAUUGCGUGGAAUGAGUCAGGUGCAGUUGCAGCAGUGAAGCUGCAGGCAUAAAACAAAUGAAAACUUAAGAUACACCAUCUCUGAGUCACAGAAAUGCUGGUGGAAGGGAUUUUUGCGGGUCAUCUGGUUCAAUCCCAUGCUUGAAGCAGGACUAUCAUCGACACAAGGAGUCUUUCAUGUUUAAAGGAGGAACGAACCUCAGCAUCGUUUCUGCUGUCGAAGUAAUUUCUGGCAGCUGUGUAUCGAACAAGGCCUCGCCACAGCUGCUGCUGAGGUGCAAGCCUGGCUGAAUCAGGACCAUGGACAUGAAUCUGAUGCAAAAUGCAUGAAAAGCACAUGAGCUUUUAACUUGUUUGAAGGCUUUCAUCAUGUGGAGAUUCUUCUACACUCACCAUGCACAGAACUAAUAAUGAAAAUGGCAUUUUUCCUGUGUACCAAGGAGAAAAACUAUGCAAGUGUCUAGGUGAGUGGUGUCAUGCUGCCAGGAAACUCGGAUCACUUUUAGGAGUUGAAAAAUCCUGAUAUUAUUGAAGUGGAAAUAGUUGAAAUGCUCCACAGGAAAAAAAGCUAGUUUGUACUGACAGAUAGCUAAAUCUCUUUGGAAAGACCUACACCCUGAGCAACCCAGCAAAAAUUAAAUCCUGAUAAUUUUUAAUAUAUUUUAAUUUCAUCUUUUUAAGGAUAUCUGCCAGGGUGUGUGUAUUGGAGGGAGUAAAGAAUUUUACAGGAACAAAUUUAUGUUUUUCUCUCCUUUGAACUAAUACACAAAGUUCGGGGCUAAUAUUUUAUUGACUCCAAGGUUCCAGGUGGCACAGGAGGCUGGCUUCUGCUGGCCAAAAUGUUUGCUUUUGCACAGAAUACGUGCACAAAACUUCCGUUUGGAUUGGUGGGAGUUUGUAUUCAUCUUGCAGUGAGGUAAAUGGCUCUUGAUGUUCAGAGAGGCAAAUCAAGGCUAUCUGCUGGCUACUUCCUUGAAUAAUAAGAGAUCGCUACUUGAUAGUGUGCUAGAAUCACUGCAUAAAUUUCCAGGCAGGUUUGUUGCCAAAUGACUGUCAGAUUACCCCAGAGGUAGGGCAAGGGUAUGUGAAGAUGGGGCAAACAGCAGGAUGUUAAACAGAAAGAUAGAGGUAUCUUGUCCAGAAGCUUU